rnacentral:rRNA from 1 species
AUUGAACGCUGGCGGCAGGCCUAACACAUGCAAGUCGAACGGUAGCACAGAGAGCUUGCUCUCGGGUGACGAGUGGCGGACGGGUGAGUAAUGUCUGGGAAACUGCCCGAUGGAGGGGGAUAACUACUGGAAACGGUAGCUAAUACCGCAUAACGUCGCAAGACCAAAGUGGGGGACCUUCGGGCCUCACACCAUCGGAUGUGCCCAGAUGGGAUUAGCUAGUAGGUGGGGUAAUGGCUCACCUAGGCGACGAUCCCUAGCUGGUCUGAGAGGAUGACCAGCCACACUGGAACUGAGACACGGUCCAGACUCCUACGGGAGGCAGCAGUGGGGAAUAUUGCACAAUGGGCGCAAGCCUGAUGCAGCCAUGCCGCGUGUAUGAAGAAGGCCUUCGGGUUGUAAAGUACUUUCAGCGGGGAGGAAGGCGGUGAAGUUAAUAACUUCACCGAUUGACGUUACCCGCAGAAUAAGCACCGGCUAACUCUGUGCCAGCCGCCGCUGUAA